rnacentral:rRNA from 1 species
UGAACCUGAGAGUUUGAUCCUGGCUCAGAGCGAACGCUGGCGGCAUGCUUAACACAUGCAAGUCGCACGAACCUUUCGGGGUUAGUGGCGGACGGGUGAGUAACGCGUAGGAACCUAUCCAUGGG